rnacentral:rRNA from 1 species
UACGUAGGGUGCAAGCGUUAAUCGGAAUUACUGGGCGUAAAGCGUGCGCAGGCGGUUCGCUAAGACCGAUGUGAAAUCCCCGGGCUUAACCUGGGAACUGCAUUGGUGACUAGCGGGCUAGAGUAUGGCAGAGGGGGGUAGAAUUCCACGUGUAGCAGUGAAAUGCGUAGAGAUGUGGAGGAAUACCGAUGGCGAAGGCAGCCCCCUGGGCCAAUACUGACGCUCAUGCACGAAAGCGUGGGGAGCAAACAGG